UACGGAGGGGGUAGACGUUAUCCGGAAUUUAUUUGGGCGUAAAGAGCUCGUAGGCGGUUUUGUCGCGUCUGCUGUGAAAACUGGAGGCUCAACCUCCAGCCUGCAGUGGGUACGGGCAGACUAGAGUGCGGUAGGGGAGAUUGGAAUUCCGGGUGUAGCGGUGGAAUGCGAGAGAUCCGGAAGAACACCGGUGGCGAAGGCGGGCCUGCUGGGCAGUAGCUGGACACUGAGGGCGCGGACAGCGUGGGGAGCAAACAGG
rnacentral:rRNA from 1 species